GAUGAAGAACGUAGCGAAAUGCGAUACGUAAUGUGAAUUGCAGAAUUCAGUGAAUCAUCGAAUCUUUGAACGCAUAUUGCGCUCUCUGGUAUUCCGGAGAGCAUGCUUGUUUGAGUAUCAGUAAACACCUCAACUUCCAUAUCUUUUUUGAAAUGGGAGUUGGACUUGAGUGAUCCCAACGCUUUUCCUCACCGAAAAGUGGCGGGUUACUUGAAAUGCAGGUGCAGCUGGACUUUUCUCUGAGCUAUAAGCAUAUCUAUUUAGUCUGCCUAAAAAACAGAUUAUUACCUUUGCUGCAGCUAACAUAAAGGAGAUUAGUUCUUGUGUUGACUGAUGCAGGAUUCACAAAGACAGGCUUCGGCCGACUUUGUAAACUCGAUCUCAAAUCAAGUAAGACUACCCGCUGAACUUAAGCAUAUCAAUAAGCGGAGGA
rnacentral:misc_RNA from 1 species